UCCUUGCCGUUUCUGUAGCAAGCCCUGCAAGGAUGCCUUAGAAACUGCUGAAGCUGUUGCUUGCUUCUGCUACCAACACACACACACACACACACACACACACACACACACACACACACACACGAGUCUAGAAUCCCAGAACACAUGCUCACACUCCUCGGGGUAUCAGAGUCUCCGGAUGCUGCCCAUGCAACUCCAACAGCCCUAAGGUCCAGGAGGCCCACGGUGUGAAGGACAACGUACAGACCCUCCCUCUUCGGGAUGACAAAGCUAGAGGCAGAGACGUUUGAUGGGAGGGAGGGAGCCGUCCUGGGAUACCAUCUGUGGCUUGGGAACACCUCUGACUUUCUGCUAGAGUUGAAGACGAGGAAGCAACACGACACAGAAGCCAGCUCUCAGGAUGCAGCCCGCCCCUGAGGGGUGGUGGAGGGGGCAAUCAUCCCUCCAGACAGAGGCUGGGCCAGCCCAUGCACCAUCCCACCUGCUGACUGAGAGCCCGGAUGUGCGGAUGUGGACGUGUGGACAGUGUUGGUUCACCUCCUGGUCAGGGGAUGGCGGAACAAGGGGACCAGACACCAAUGAAAAUGGGUGGCCCAGGUGAUCCAGUCUCUCAAAAUGCCUCUGUUGCAGUUUCCUCAGAGUUCUGCAUCCAGAACAGCUUCAAAGAUGCUGGCUGAGAUGGUCCAGCCUCACAGACUGUUCUAGCCAGGACUUGACCAUUAUCCUAAUUUUCUCAGGGUCCCUCAAAGGUUCCAGCACCUCCAGACAACAGAAAGCAGUCUAGAGAACACAAUGCCCACAUUCCCAAGAGGUAGGGUGGGUAGUUUUUGGUCAUUCUGUGGGUUAUGCAUGGUUGUCAUUGUUUAGGGGGGUAGUGGUUACAAAUUGUUAUUGGUCAUGGUCAGAAAAAAAACUGAACAAAGAUUAGAUUCAAGGAUCUCUUUCUGAAGAGAAAAAGGGGUGAUAUUAUAUAGAAAUGAUAGGAUAAGGGGAUAGAUUAUUGUAUCUACUUUAAAACUAAAAAAAAACAACUAUUGAUCUCUAAUAUUUUACUUUGGUAUGGAUUUUUGUAUAUAGAUACAAAUUUAAGUUUAUUUUUGCUACAACGUACUCUAUAUAGGUUUCCACUCAUUUAAGAUAUUUUUGUAUAUUGAUACAAAUUUAAGGUUAUUUUUGUUAUACUGUAUAUGUUUCUACUCUUGUUUAAGGUAUUUUUCUAUAUUGAUACAAAUUUAGGUUAUUUUUUGUUAUACUGUAUAUAUGUUUCUACUCUUGUUUAAGAUAUUGUACCUAUGCAGCCCAUUUAACAAUGUAAUAUAAAUUUCUAUUCCUUGAAAAUUAUUAUUGCAAACUGUUUAGAAUAAUUAAGAAAUAUAGGUUAGUAGUUAGUCAGCUAACAAUCAAAAUUGUGGCCACGUUAGGUAUGUUUUCAAGGUCAAAUAGAGAUAUAUUUUAGAUCGAUGAUCUUCAUACACUUCAAAGACUUACAGAAUAUGACCUUUAAGAUGUUUUAAUGACAUAAGGCUUUUCAUGACAGUGAGACACAUCUGUUUCUGACAGCACCAAUCUACUUCAGAGAAGAUGAUGGGCAUCAAAGAACCUCCAAAUGAAGUUUGCUUUCUUUGUGGUAAAAGCUAGCCACUGGGAAAAGAAACUGCCCUUGCCUCAACUGCUGACAGCAUGCUGUCCAAACUGGACAAGCAGGACACAAAAGAAAGUGCCUGCCAAACUUUACUAGACAGGGUAGGACAAUCUUUUUACCCAGACCUCAAACCUGCGGGCAGAAGUUGGGAGUGGGGAUAACACACCCUCCUGUCCUUAGGGUAUAAGCAACGGGGUUGGGCUCAGUGUUGUUCGCUUUCUCCAAUCCCUGUCACCACACAGGCUAAGCCAUCAUCAGCUGCAAGUUAGCAUAGUCUCCUGACAAUUUCUGACCGAAACCUACUCCCUUAUCUAUGCAGCUUUCAGACUGUUUCUAAAAUCCACCUAUCUUAGUUAUGGUUUCUAUUGCUGUAAAGAGAAACUAUGACCACAGCAACUCUUAUACAGGGAAACCUUUAAUUGGGGCUGGCUUACAGUUCAGAGAUUUAGUCCGUUGUCGUCAUGUCAGGAAGCAUGGUGGUGUGCAGGCAGACAUGUUGCUGGAGAAGUAACUGAGAAUUCUACAUCCGGAUCUGAAGGCAGCAGAAAGAGAGAGACACUGGGCCUGGCUUGAGCAUCUGAAACCUCAAAGCCCAGUGACACACCUACUCCAACAAGGCCACACCUCCUUGCCACUCUGCUGCAAGCCACAGGAAAACGUAAUGGAAUUCAGCUACUAUCACAAAAGUUACUACUUGGAAAGGUCAAGGACUUCUCCAAAGGUCAAGCCAUGGCUUAAGAAGUCUUGGUGAUAUUUUAGCUUUUGUAUGUAUAUUAGCUGGUUCCUACAGUGGUUUUCUUGUAAUGCUAUGCAUGUUUCCAAGAACGCCUAACAGUGUAUUUAUCUAAAAUAUCUAUCAGCCAUCCAAGGCCAAAUGAAACAACACCUGUCUCUUAGGUCAGGCAGGUAGCUUUAUUUCUUGUGCAACUUAGGGUGAGACCCUCUUUCCUUACAGCCUUACUAACAGACCCCUAACUUCUUACCUCACCACUUCUCGGAAUGUAGACUGAGCACAUAGAUCCCCUUCUUGAUAUACUAACCCAUUGAUCUCUAGCUCUCUGUUGACCUCCUCCUUUACCACUCCCCUUUUGGGUUGUAAAAGAAAGCCUGGUGGUCACUGCCUGAGGAAUUCUUAUCUGCCUUUAUGACCCCAUAAGAAUUCAAGUCUGGUGACCAUGCUCUGCCAGAGGAUCGCUAUUGCUUGGGUUUAUAACUGGAUUCCUGAGAGACUUAGAGAGAACUGAGAGAAUAAAGAGAUGGAGAGGAGGAGAGAGAGAGGAAAAAAGAGAACGGAAGAACUAGAUGGGUAAGAACUGGAGAGAAAUGAACUAAGAUGGGGAAGAACUAGAUUGAAGGACUGAAAGAGAGGACUAGAGGAAUGAGAUGGAAGAUGCGGAAGAGCCAGAUGGGGAAGAACAAGUUGAGGAAGAGCCAGAUGAGAGAGAAGGAGAUGGGAGAGGAGCUAAGAUGGAAAGAAACUAGAUGGAUGAGAACCUAGAUGGAGCAGAACCAAGAUGAAGGAAUUAAGAUAGAACUUAGAGGGGACAGCAGAUAAACGUAGAGAGAAAUCAGGCAAGAACGGGGCUAAAAAUGGGAGCAGAAUAGAAGCUGUGUAGAGAGAGAACUGACUCAGAAGAAUAAAGUGUAUGGACUAAGGAGUUUCAUGUACACAGAUUCAUUUCAUAUCAUCAAAGAUUAGAUUAUCAGCUGGUUAUAGAUUCUUCCCGGACCCUGGGAGGGGACUAUCGAGGGGCUGGACCUCUGUAGUUCUCGUUACCACUCCUGAAGAGGGAGUGGGGGGGGGGUAUUUUCAUUCAAACCCCUACACCACCUUAAACAGGUCAUACCACAUUUGUAAAACACUUUCCAGACUCCUUGUUGGGCAGGCAGGCAGGCCCUGCCUGUUGUCCUGCACUCCCCCCAAGAUCCCCAUCCCUCCCUGUGUCCCAGCUGCAAGGGCGACUCCCUCUGCUCCAGUGUCUCCGCCCUGUUCUGCCCCUGCUUCUUACUCAGCUUCCACUUCCCCCAGUUGGCCUCUGUGGCCCCUGACUGUGAUCGCCCGCUCUGUCACCUGUGGGUCACAGUUCGUAAUUAUUGUCCCCUGGGCAGACACGGUUUGUUUAGUCUCUGCUUCUCACUGUUAGCCAAUGGACUUUCAGCCAUCCUUCCUUCCCAAGCAUCCCUCUGUCAGAACCCAAGUUCUGUUCCAGUACCCAGCUCAUGAGUCAAUGUGAGGUUUAAGCCAGAUUUCCCACACUGCCCCAGGGAGAGUGUUCUGGUGGGUUCAGGCACAAAUGCUGAGUUUUAUUUUUUUUAUUUUUAUUUAUUUAUUUUUUUUAGAAACAAAGUUCUGCUCCACAGCUCUGGCUAGGCUGGGGUUUGCAAUGAUCCUCCUGCCGCUGCUUCCCAAGUGCCGGGAUUACAGGUCUAAGCUACCAUACCUGAACUUUAACAUUUACUUAUUUAUUCUGUGUAUGUGUGUAUGUGUAAACAUCCAUGUGCCACUGCCACUGUGGCGGUUCAGGUACAGCUACACGAGAUAUUGUUUAAUCUGAUGCUGGUCUCCCACCUAAACUGUAUGCUUCAGGAGUACAGGAUCCAUGUCUGGCUUCAUCUGGCUUUCCACCGUCUCUUCCGUACCUACCAUUUGUUUGAUUAUUAAAUUUUGCAUUAUAUACUGAU